rnacentral:rRNA from 1 species
AGAACGAACGCUGGCGGCAUGCCUAACACAUGCAAGUCGAACGAGACCUUCGGGUCUAGUGGCGCACGGGUGCGCAACGCGUGGGAAUCUGCCCUUGGGUUCGGGAUAACAGUUGGAAACGACUGCUAAUACCGGAUAAUGACUUCGGUCCAAAGAUUUAUUGCCCAGGGAUGAGCCCGCGUAGGAUUAGCUAGUUGGUGAGGUAAAGGCUCACCAAGGCGACGAUCCUUAGCUGGUCUGAGAGGAUGAUCAGCCACACUGGGACUGAGACACGGCCCAGACCUCCUACGGGAGGCAGC